ACGAAGGGGGCUAGCGUUGUUCGGAAUUACUGGGCGUAAAGCGCACGUAGGCGGACAUUUAAGUCAGGGGUGAAAUCCCGGGGCUCAACCUCGGAACUGCCUUUGAUACUGGGUGUCUAGAGUAUGGAAGAGGUAAGUGGAAUUGCGAGUGUAGAGGUGAGAUUCGUAGAUAUUCGCAGGAACACCAGUGGCGAAGGCGGCUUACUGGUCCGAUACUGACACUGAGGCACGAAAGCGUGGGGAGCAAACAGGA
rnacentral:rRNA from 1 species